rnacentral:rRNA from 1 species
UACGUAGGUGGCGAGCGUUGUCCGGAAUUAUUGGGCGUAAAGCGCGCGCAGGCGGGAUAUUAAGUCUGCUCUAAAAGUGCGGGGCUUAACCCCGUAAAGGGGUGGAAACUAAUAUUCUUGAGUGCCGGAGAGGAAAGCGGAAUUCCCAGUGUAGCGGUGAAAUGCGUAGAUAUUGGGAGGAACACCAGUGGCGAAGGCGGCUUUCUGGACGGUGUCUGACGCUGAGGCGCGAAAGCCAGGGGAGCGAACGGG